GGCGCUGUGGCUCAAUGGUUAGAGCGCCGGCUCUGUGCACCAGGGGUGGCGGGUUCCAACCUGGCCAGAGCCU
rnacentral:tRNA from 1 species